rnacentral:rRNA from 1 species
AACGAACGCUGGCGGCAGGCCUAACACAUGCAAGUCGAGCGCCCGGAUUUAUCCGGGAGCGGCGCACGGGUGAGUAACGCGUGGGAACAUGCCCUGAAGUACGGAACAACCUGGGGAAACCUUGGCUAAUACCGUAUACGCCCUGAGGGGGAAAGAUUUAUCGCUUUGGGAUUGGCCCGCGUUGGAUUAGCUGGUUGGUGUGGUAACGGCGCACCAAGGCGACGAUCCAUAACUGGUCUGAGAGGAUGACCAGUCACACUGGGACUGAGACACGGCCCAGACUCCUACGGGAGGCAGCAGUGGGGAAUAUUGGACAAUGGGCGAAAGCCUGAUCCAGCCAUGCCGCGUGGGUGAAGAAGGCCUUAGGGUUGUAAACCCCUUUCAGCGGGGAAGAUAGUGACGGUACCCGCAGAAGAAGUCCCGGCUAACUCCGUGCCAGCCGCCGCGGUAA